CGUGCGCGGCUCUCCACAAAAAGCCGCGUACAGCAACAAAGAAGGAGGAAUAAUCUUUCCCUGGGGCUCGGGGUGCGGCAGUGUGGAGACCUGUCGCAAUGCGCGUGGCGAACGCCCGCGCGAGAACGCCGCGGCGGAGGCCCGGCGGUCGGAGUCGGUAAAGAAUGGCA
rnacentral:ncRNA from 1 species